AAAGUCCCCUUCGGGGGACUAGUAGAGUGGCGCUCCGGGUGAGUAACACGUAGGUAAUCUACCUUCGGGUGGGGAAUAACGCAGGGAAACUUGCGCUAAUACCGCAUAAUGCAGCGGCACCACAUGGUGACAGUUGUUAAAGCGGGGGAUUUUCGAACCUCGCGCCUGAAGAGGAGCCUGCGGCAGAUUAGCUAGUUGGUAAGGUAAUGGCUUACCAAGGCGACGAUCUGUAACCGGCCUGAGAGGGCGGUCGGUCACACUGACACUGACAUACGGGUCAGACUCCUACGGGAGGCAGCAGUCGGGAAUUUUGGGCAAUGGGCGAAAGCCUGACCCAGCAACGCCGCGUGAAGGAUGAAAUCCCUCGGGAUGUAAACUUCGCAAGAAUGGGAAGAAUGAGUAGGGGCUAAUACUCCCUAUGAUGACGGUACCAUUUGUAAGCUCCGGCUAACUCCGUGCCAGCAGCCGCGGUAAUACGGGGGGAGCAAGCGUUGUUCGGAUUUACUGGGCGUAAAGGGCGCGUAGGCGGCCAGCGCAAGUCAGUUGUGAAAUCUCCGGGCUUAACUCGGAACGGUCAACUGAUACUGCGCGGCUAGAGUGCGGAAGGGGCAACUGGAAUUCUCGGUGUAGCGGUGAAAUGCGUAGAUAUCGAGAGGAACACCUGCGGCGAAGGCGGGUUGCUGGGCCGACACUGACGCUGAUGCGCGAAAGCCAGGGGAGCGAACGGGAUUAGAUACCCCGGUAGUCCUGGCCUUAAACGAUGGAUGCUUGGUGUCUGGAGUUUUAUAGUCUCCGGGUGCCGCAGCUAACGCGUUAAGCAUCCCGCCUGGGGAGUACGGUCGCAAGACUGAAACUC
rnacentral:rRNA from 1 species